rnacentral:rRNA from 1 species
CUACGGGACGCACCAGUGAGGAAUAUUGCGCAAUGGGGGAAACCCUGACGCAGCGACGCCGCGUGGAUGAUGAAGGCCUUCGGGUCGUAAAAUCCUGUCAGAUGGGAAGAAAUGUUGUAUGGCUAAUACCUGUAUGAUUUGACGGUACCAUCAAAGGAAGCACCGGCUAACUCCGUGGCCAGCAGCCGCGGUAAUACGGAGGGUGCAAGCGUUGUUCGGAAUUACUGGGCGUAAAGCGCGCGUAGGCGGCUAUUUAAGUCAGAUGUGAAAGUCCACGGCUCAACCGUGGAAGUGCAUUUGAAACUGGAUAGCUUGAGUACUGGAGGGGGUGGUGGAAUUCCCGGUGUAGAGGUGAAAUUCGUAGAUAUCGGGAGGAAUACCGGUGGCGAAGGCGACCACCUGGCCAGAUACUGACGCUGAGGUGCGAAAGCGUGGGGAGCAAACAGGAUUAGAUACCCGCGUAGUC